rnacentral:rRNA from 1 species
UAGAUAGGGUGGAAGCGGAGGGGCUGUGAGACAUGGAGCGGACCAUGACUAAUAGGUCGAGGACUUAACCAAA